UAGGGAAUCUUAGUCAAUGGGCGAAAGCCUGAACUAGCGACGCCGCGUGUGCGAUGAAGGCCUUCGGGUUGUAAAGCACUGUCGUACGGGACGAUAAUGACGGUACCGUACAAGAAAGGACCGGCCAACAUCGUGCCAGCAGCCGCGGUAAGACGAGGGGUCCUAGCGUUGUUCGGAAUUACUGGGCGUAAAGCGGGUGUAGGUGGAUUUUUAAGUCAGAUGUGAAAUCCCGGAGCUCAACUUCGGAAUUGCAUUUGAAACUGAAAAUCUUGAGUAUUGGAGAGGAUAGCAGAAUUCCUGGUGUAGUGGUGAAAUACGUAGAUAUCAGGAGGAAUAUCGGUGGCGAAGGCGGCUAUCUGGCCAAAUACUGACACUCAGACCCGAAAGCGUGGGGAGCAAACAGGAUUAGAUACCCUGGUAGUCCACGCUGUAAACGAUGGACACUUGGUGUUGGAGGUAUUGACCCCUUCAGUGCCGUAGCUAACGCAUUAAGUGCCCCGCCUGGGGAGUACGGCCGCAAGGUUG
rnacentral:rRNA from 1 species